CCUACGGGUGGGCAGCAGUGGGGAAUAUUGGACAAUGGGCGAAAGCCUGAUCCAGCCAUGCCGCGUGUGUGAAGAAGGCCUUCGGGUUGUAAAGCACUUUCAGUGGGGAAGAAAGCCUUGGGGCUAAUACCCUCGAGGAAGGACAUCACCCACAGAAGAAGCACCGGCUAACUCCGUGCCAGCGGCCGCGGUAAUACGGAGGGUGCGAGCGUUAAUCGGAAUUACUGGGCGUAAAGCGCGCGUAGGCGGUCUGAUAAGCCGGUUGUGAAAGCCCCGGGCUCAACCUGGGAACGGCAUCCGGAACUGUCAGGCUAGAGUGCAGGAGAGGAAGGUAGAAUUCCCGGUGUAGCGGUGAAAUGCGUAGAGAUCGGGAGGAAUACCAGUGGCAAAGGCGGCCUUCUGGACUGACACUGACGCUGAGGUGCGAAAGCGUGGGUAGCAAACAGGAUUAGAUACCCUUGUAGUC
rnacentral:rRNA from 1 species